UACGGAGGGAGCUAGCGUUGUUCGGAAUUACUGGGCGUAAAGCGUGUGUAGGCGGCUACGUAAGUCGGAUGUGAAAGCCCCAGGCUCAACCUGGGAAGUGCACUCGAUACUGCGUAGCUUGAGUAUCGGAGAGGUUGGUGGAAUUCUCGGUGUAGAGGUGAAAUUCGUAGAUAUCGAGAGGAACACCGGUGGCGAAGGCGGCCAACUGGACGAAUACUGACGCUGAGACACGAAAGCGUGGGGAGCAAACAGG
rnacentral:rRNA from 1 species